rnacentral:rRNA from 1 species
UACAGAGGGUGCAAGCGUUGCUCGGAUUUACUGGGCGUAAAGCGUACGCAGACGGCCACGCAGGUCGGGUGUGAAAGCCCCGGGCUCAACCCCGGGAAUUGCAUUCGAAACCAUGUGGCUCGAGUGUGGGAGAGGGUAGUGGAAUUCCUGGUGUAGAGGUGAAAUUCGUAGAUAUCAGGAGGAACACCGGCGGCGAAGGCGGCUACCUGGUCCACAACUGACGUUCAGGUACGAAAGCGUGGGGGAGCAAACAGG